rnacentral:lncRNA from 1 species
AUGAUGUUGAGCACCGCACCUUCACAGAAAAUGGACCCUCUGGAAGGAAGAACACACUUCACGACGUGCCUGCCACAUCUUAGGCCUCGAGGCACCAGCCUCAGGACCCCGCGCAGGGAAACCGUGUGGCAACGAGUAAGAGGAUGGUUCACUCAGCCCAGACGCUUCAGGACACUCACCAGGAAGCGCCCAACGGUCAUGGGCCACACAGGGCAGGGCUCUGCGGACCCAGGCCCCAAGUACCCAGAGACAAAUGGGAGCCCAGGACGGGUGUCCCUACAACUAGCGGUCAUCUGCACGGAGCCUCCGAGUCCGGUACAGGUCUGUCUGGACCUGACCAACACUGUGAGUUCCCUGCAAAAUUUGAACACUUCAUCCUCAGUGUGUUUGGGGGUGAGGGAGGGGGACAGUUUCCUGCUUGAAGUCAACCUGGACAGGCCCACGAGUUGCCGGGCCCAGAGCCCGGGGUCCCGUCACAGUCCCCCCGAAGAGAGGGCUGGCAGGACGAGGAAGGCAGUGCUCAGUGUUAAUGCAAAGCCGGCAGAGUCAUCUCCUGUCCUCCAGAAGUGGCAGCCUGUGACAGGGCUGACUGGGAUGUGGGGAGCACAAGGUGAUCAGGGGCAAGAGAGGGGGCAGAUACUGCUCAGGCAGAGCCUCAUGCUUCCUGCCAGCUACUGGGCACUGUCCCAACAGAGCUGCACACAGGACACCGGUGUGGAGCAGGUCCCUGUGGGCCUGCAGUGUCCCUGCACCACACACGGGGACGCAGUCACAGCACAUGCCAGCUCAAGCGCAGCUGCUGUGUGUGUGUGUGUGUGUGUGUGUGUGUGUGUGUGAGUAGAGGGCCCAGGGAGGGCAGAGAAACCUGGGCAGCCAGAUGACACCUCCAGUACCUCCUUCUAGGAGUGGAAAACAAAGCACCUCUCGUCUUGCUCCCAAAGGAAUCUGGGGUUUAUGUCUUCAACAACUACAUGCUGUGUGCUUAGGCUCUUCCUCAGCCAGCUACAAGGUCACUGCGCAAGCUGGGAGCAUUAGAAGAGGGACAGGGACAGUAAGUCUCUGGACUUCCUGCCAUGACUGAUUUCUAUUUCAUCCUGGAAUUGCUGAACCCAGGAUCUGUGGGGCAUCUGCCUGAAUGUCCUUCCACCCUGUCUCCAGCUCUGUACACGUUACCCAUUGGCAUGGGUGUGCUCACCCAAACCGUCAGACCUUUGCCACUUUGUCCUUUUCUCUGGCACCUGCUGUCCCCUAGAACCCACGCGGGCCCUGUAGAUCACAGGGUGGGGCCUCCCUCACUUUGGCUAAAUGAUCUUCUAUCGGGCUGGCAGUGAACUAAGCCACUCUGCCUUGCUAGGCGAAGGAAGACUGACCUGACCCUUUCUGGGGACUUCUCAGCAGAAACCUCUGCAAC